rnacentral:tRNA from 1 species
GCCUGGGUGGCUCAGUCGGUUGAGCGUCAGGCUUCAGCUCAGGUCAUGAUGUCGAGGUCUGUGGGUUCGAGCCCCACGUCAGGCU